ACCUUACAGUUUGGCUUUUUGUGUAUCCCCCGAGAGGUAGAGAAUAUAGAACCUUCUGAGCCCCAAAGAGGACAUGGGGCACUGAUGGCAAGAGACCAGCUUUCUUCUAGCAGAGAUUGGGCCUGAGGAAGAGCCCAGAGCUUAAUGCAAGCCCCUGAAUGGGGCUCAGACAAGGCCCGUGGAAGUUCUUUGGGGGACCAUAUCGCUCAAAAGGAAGGUCUGUUUGGGGACGUUUCCUCCCUGGUAUGAAAGGUGGCACCGGAGACCAAGAGAAGAGACCAGCUAAGCCCUGGGGAGAAGGCAGUUUGGCUAAGAACUCGCCAGCUGGAUCGGCCUCCCCGAUCCCUGGCCAGGGCCGCAGCAGUGACCAACCGUCCCUGGCCAAAGCUGCUCUACGCCGGCCGGCAGUGCCCACUCCCCGGGGGACUCCCGGACCCCAGCCAGGAAGAGCAGACACCACGUCUGAGCCUGGAGCUAGACAGUCACCCCACAGCAGGCAGCUUGCACCGUUUAGUCUCGGCUCCCUCCGUCCUCUGUGGCU
rnacentral:lncRNA from 1 species